AUGGCAAAUGUAGCAAGUGUCCCCGCGGGUGUUGCGACUGGCCGGCGUCCAGGCGUUGGGAACCGCCCCGCGCCCGCCUCCCGACUGAACUCCUGGCUCAGGUGCAAGUGGCGGCAGGCUCACCGCGGGGCUCCCGGGGAGAAGGGGACGCUGGGCGCAGCACCGCUUCCGGGGCGGCCCCUCUCCAGCCGCACUCCGACCCGGCGCGGCCACCCGGCCCCCGCUCACAGGUCCCACUGCUGCGCCCUCUCGGGGACGCGAAUUCCCCGCGCCGGGCGGGCGCCCGCGGAGGGAGGUCCCGCUUUAGGGGCGCGGAGCUCCAGGUGCCUGCGCGCAAGGCCCCUCGCCUGGCACCGGCUGGUCCCGAACUUCGGGGAAUGCACCUCCGGGAAGGGGGCCCGCGCGUGUUUGGAGGUCCGUCCCCUCGCCGCCACCCUCCAGGGCGGCAAGGGCACCCACCUGCGGAGCGGGAAGCCCAAGAACGCUCGAAAAGGGUGUGGCCUCAGCUAGGACGCGGCUGCGAACACAGAGCCCGGGAGAAGUUUGCCGACGGUCGCUCUGCCAGAGGGGCGCCCCGCUGCCCAACUCUUUUUUCCUCCAUCCGCCUGGCCCCAGCUCCCGCCCGCCCUUCGCCUCCGGGCCCUGGCCUGGCCACAGCCGCGGGGACUUGCCUGCGGCUCCACGGCCAGGUGGCUGCCGCACAGAGACCUGACCUGGAGAACCAGCUGA